rnacentral:lncRNA from 1 species
GGAAGAGUUGCUGCUGAGCUGUGUGAAUCUGAACUGUGAGUAGAAGCCCCAGGCUAUAUCUGUCUCUUUGGCUUAGAACAGAUGGGACCCAGGCAACUUUUCACUCAACCAGCUGGGUUGUACGGAUAUCUCAUGCUCUGCUUGCUUUUAGGUCAGUGCCAUGCACACCAGGAUACGUGGAAUGUGAUGCUCGUGUACUGUGUUAACUUGAAGUUAAGGAAGUUAGGAUUUGCCUUUGCAAACUGGUAAGUGUGAGUGAAUCGUGCACGUCUGUGUUCAACAAGGAAAGGAAACACCAGGAUUGCAGGAGACACGAAACGAGUAAGAGUUUGCUGACUCCCAACACAGGUCCUCUUCGUGCGAGCAAAGGCUGGCUUUCCUGGAAAACUGGCUUCCUUCAGAACUCUGGUCCACUCUGAUACCAAACGUGGAUGCUUGUGGAAUUUGCCAGUUAUUGGGCUGAGGGGACCCUUCCCCUGGCGAAGCAGAAAAGCAUCAAACAAAAGUUUCCUCUGUGCCUGUGGGCUACCCGCCUACCUCUGCCGUGACACCAGCCACAUCCUCAUGCCUUAACGUUAACAGGUUGUCUGCAGUCCCUUGUGGGGUUCUAAGACUCAAUCCAUAGACUCAUGCAUGUUUUGAGAGCCCCAGAAUCAAAGCUGGAGAGGUGACUUUAGGAGAUUAACAGUCAUGAUUUAUUGUCCAAACCAGAACCUUUUGAGAGUGAAAGGGCGUGCUAUUAGUCAUGAUUCCAGGACUACAGGUGUUGGGUGGCACAUUUGGUCUUCUCAAUAUUUAUUGAGCCCUUGUUAGUAAUUUAACUCAUCCUUUAAUACAGUCUUCCCUUGAAUCCUCAUAAUAACUGUAUUGACUAGACAGUAUUCCCAUUUUACAGAUGAUGAGGGUUGAAGGAGUAGUUCAUGUACAGUGACGACUCUAUAGUUGUGCCCUGGUAAGAGCAGGCAUGAGAAGGAAUUUGGACUGAAGUCUUAUGCCAAAAUGGAUGUACCUUGCACUACAGUAUGUGGUUUCUUACCUAUAAUUCAGUGAUUUUUUCCUUUUUUCUAAAAAAAGACCUAGGUUCUAAGGAGACAUAAGAUGCUAGUUAGCUACCAAGACACUCCUGAAGGCAAGGGGAAGACCAUCAAAAGAGCAACUCCAUCUUCAUGUUUAAGAUAUUGGCCAAGUGGAUGAAACUUCAUUUACUGGGAGGAAGGGGAUUUCUACUAUUUGAAAUUAAAAAAUAGGAAGAAAGAUUGAAGAAGAAAAAGGAGAAGAAGAGAAAGGAAAAGAGGAAGAUGGAAAGAGAGGAAGAGAAGGAAGGAAGAAAGGAAAAUAGGAAGGAAAUGAGAGAGGCAGGGAAAGAUCAUCGUUGCACUUUAAGCCCCUGGGUUUGAAACUGCAAAGUGGAGUCCCAGAGAGAGAGAGUCCCAUAUCCAAUGUCACACAGCAAAUCAAACAGAGGGGAAACAAUGAUCUGAAAAGACGAGUCUUUUGAUUUUCAAUCCAUGUGCUUUUCGCCACACUUUCCUGGGUAGCAAGCAUUAUGUUGAGAGGAAGUACUGCCAGUUGGAACUAUUUUCUUAUUUCACCUCAUUUUGACACUGUGGUGAAUUGCUGGUCCUUAGGGAAGCUUUUCUUUAGAAAGAGGGAUUAAGCUGCUUUUAAAUAUUGAGGAGGAAAAGCUGUCACAGUUUUCAGAUAUACGAUGGAAGAGAUUUUAAAUAGAGACAAGUGUGUGCAUGUUGAAUUCUGUUGUCUUUCUUAGCAGAAAGACACGUCAUAUUCUUGAAAUGCCUUCCUUUUUUCAUCACCAUAGUCCUGGACUAUUUGAAGAAAAUUAAAUGAUAGUUUCAGGUUUGAAAGUGGAGAAAGCUUCACUGAGCUCUCAGUCAAGUUGGAUCAGGAGACUGGAGUGGGAAAGGGGGCCUUAGUCAGAUGUACAGUAUGGGGUGAGGGAAUUUAUAAGGAUGAAAACACAACAGGGAUUUAAGGAGUCAUACCCCACCCCCCUGCAGCCCCCUACAAAGGACUUUCUGGUGGCAGAUUAACCCAAGGGAGGGUGUCUUCUAAGAGUAGAGUCAGUCUGGAGGGACAAGGGGGAAUCUCUCAAUAUACAAAUCUUUCAGAUCCACCCCAACUUUCUUGGAACCGCUUCCACUUUUAUGAAGGACCUACUAUGUCCUGGGGACUCUUCCAAGCACUUUACACAGGUUAAUUCAUUUAAUCUUCACUGUGAGGUUGCCACUGUUUUUAUUCUAAAGGUCAAAUAGCUAAUAAGUGCUGGAGCUGGAAUUCGGACUGAAGAGAUUCAGUUUCAAGUCUAUGUCCUCAACCCCAUGCCACACUCACUCUGAAAUUUCCAGGCAUCAGCUGGAGUCAUGCUGGAGGCUCAGGCCACCCACAACCCUGCAGGGUGAUGCUCCUUAGUAGGAGAUGAGGCUGAAGGGCUGGACGGUGGGCAUUUCCUUUUCUUCUUUGACAUGGUUUUCCUUAAUCUUUGCUCUUGAGGCUUGACCUCAGUGUGUUUGGGAAGUGGGAAGACAAGGAGUAGUCACAGGGGCCGUCAGUAAGCCCGUUCUCCAGCAGAUCUCUCCAGACUCUUCCAUGUACUUUGCAGUUUGGGUUAGAGGGUCAGAAUGCCUGGUGCCUGAGUUCUUCUGUCCAUGAGCUUUGAGCCCUGUGGGUGAUGCUCUUCUCUGGGCUGAAUCUCAGUAGGGUGUUCUAAACACUGACUUCCUGAGUAAACUUGGUUAAACUUUCUAAACCAGAAACACGAUAACUUAAAAAUCCUCUAGUUUUAGUCUUCUAUAACCAUGUAUUCUAGGAAAUUUGGGAGCCAAUGUUUCAAGAAAGAUAGCUCAAAAGAGGAACAGAUGUGAGUAGAUGGAAGAUCAUGAUCAAAGAAGUGUGGAGUCAGAAGGGGAGAAAAGACAAUUAGGUAUUUCUCCCCAAAAGACUAUCCCUGUUAAAACUACAUAUUGAGUGACUUGAUGAACACGUGAUUUCAUGCAACUUUUUGGAAUCCAUCUAUUGCCUAAACCCAUGAAAAAAAGAGAAAAUGUGGGUGCAUAUUAUACUGUUAUGCCCCAGUGAAGCUCGGCUGGCUCUUUGGGACUCCUUAAGUAAGCUUGCUCUUCAUGCAUGGUUCUACCUGUGAUUGGGAGUCCCAGAGCAUUUUCCUCCCCAGGGAUUGCUCUUUAUCUCUCAGUCUUGCAGUGAUUGACUUGCAGGUAUAGAAAACAGAACCCACACUUUUGAGAUGGAGACUAAGCAUUCUACAGUAAGUUCUAGUCAUUAAAACUGCUUUAAAUACCCAGGAUUACUGCAAAAGGGUUAUAGAGAGAAAAGAAAAGAGUUCUGUUCUCUGUUGCUUUAUGGCCAAAUGGUUUCUCACUGUUGCCCAUAAAAUAAAACAAUUAUACA